CAAGAUAGACAUGUCAGUGUGAGAUGCUGCCAAUGCUUUUCAUCAUGACCAACAGGUUGUUAAACUGCAAUCAAAAACACUUAGUAGGAAUGAAUCUGUCCCUGUUAUGAGGUUUGAACUCCUGACAUCCUUAUUCACUGGAACUUGACUGCCCAGGACGCAGCAGAGAGGGGAUUUUGAGAGCAUGUUUCACACACCCUGCAGCUGUGAGCCAUUUGCAGCAUGAGGAAAAGCCCUCCAUCACCUCAAUGUACAGGAAAGAGAAGGUAAGCUGACUCUCUUCAGGCUGCUUUUAGAUAUGGUACCUUCAGUGAAGAUCCCCAGCCUAGUGAAAUCUGUUCUUCACCAUGCUGAC
rnacentral:lncRNA from 14 species